rnacentral:lncRNA from 1 species
AUAUACACCCACACACAUAUAUGUGUAUAUAUAGCUCCUUAGUUCUUAAACACAGCAAUAUCCAGCUAUUCGAACUAGCACAAAGUAAUGUUAAAUAUCUCAUUUUCUCUAUUGCUAAGUUUUUUCUUUGUAGAAACGUAUAAGGGGAUAAUUUAAGGUUAUUCAAUUAUACGUAAGUAGAGAGACUAGCUUAGGAUGUUUUGCUUUCUUAUGGCUAGAAAAACCAAAGAGAGGAACAGAAAAUAGCUCUCCCACCAAAUUGUUAUAAUACUGAUAUUACUACUAGUGCCACCAAUAAUAAUAGCAUUUAUACACUGCUUUAAAGUUUACAAAAUGUUUUUCAUAUGUAAAUUCAUUUAAUUUUCACAACAACUCUAAGAGAAAGCUGCUAUUAUUAAUUCCAUUUUAGAGAAGUGAAAACCUUUAAGACACAGAGAGGUAAAUGACUUGACAACGGUCAUACAGUUAGUAAGUAUCUGAGGUUGAAUUUGUACUCAAAUUUUCCUGACUUUAAUCCCACACUUUUAGAUUUGACUUGGGGCUUUUAAAGUUAUUUUUUUAAUAUGAAACAAACCCAUAUGUAGAACAACAAAUUCUGGAAAGCAUAUUGGCACCAGAAGCUCAAGAGUCAGAGCUUGAAUCAGUAGGGUCACUAUAAAUUCCCUGUCCUGAAAUUGGUAUAACUGUUUCUAACUAAAGAAACUGUAUUCCAUUCUCCACAGGGAUCCUUUUUAAAUCUGGGUUUUCCCAAGAAGGCGCCAGAAGAUUCUCAUUGGAGGGGAAAUGGUUAAGGAUAUUCAUGGAAGGGAAAAAUGUGGCUCUUUGCCAGGAAUGUGGUUGAGAGGCAUUGGUAAUCAUAUACUUUGCUUCUCAUUCUUUUUCCACCAUGGCUUCUUAAGCAUAAGAUGACUCCAAUGUACUCUGAAGUCCAAUGUGGCCCCAGUUCCCAGCAGACCUCCAGGGCUUAUUCUGUUUCAAGAGACGAUUACCCUCACCAUAGCAAUAUCAUGUUUGCAUGGUUACAAGGACUUCCACAGAGGAAAAGAUAUUCCUGGCAACCCAAACUUGAAAUAAUCCUGGGAUUUCCCAGGUUUAAAUUUGAUUCCCUCCAUCCAUUCAUGAAGAAUUUACAUACUAAAGCAAAUUGUGAUGGGUGUUUGGUUGUUUGUUUGUUUAAUGGUGAACUGGUAUUUGUACCAAAGUAAGACUGUAUAAAAAUGCUUGUCAAUUUAAAAAACUCUUAUGAUAGUUAAUAAAUUAUAAGCAUCUUCAGAAAUGGACCAUGUUAAGUCAAGAUGCAUUUAUUAAUCAUUUAGCAGGAAUCAAGCACUUUGCUAAAUUCUAGGGAUACAAAGAAAGGCAAAAGACAGUUCCUUUAUCUCAAGAAGCUCACUAUUCAAUAUAGGAGACCAUAUACAAUCAGGUAAAGGAACAAGAUCUAUACAAGAUAAACUGGACUUACAGAGAGAAAUUUUAGAAUUAAGGGUUAUUAGGAAAAGCUUCUUAUAGGAGAUGAAAUUUCAUCUGAAGCUGA